CUUUUUCACUCUGAAAGAGCUAGAAUUCUAACCUUGUGUCAGGACCUACGGGCCAGGGAACAGUCUCAGGUAGACAGUUUCUAUGGGGCGUAGGCCUCCCCAAAGGUAACGGAGGCGUGCAAAGGUUUCCUCGGGCCAGACGGAGAUUGGCCCUCGAGUGCAAACGUAGAAGGGAGCUUGACUGGUGGCGGAGGCAAGGGUGUCGGUGGGAGAGAGGAGGGAGAAGAGAGUUGGGGUGAGGUUGUGGGAAUGGCGAUGGAAAAG
rfam:Vigna angularis cultivar Jingnong 6 chromosome 8, whole genome shotgun sequence.